GACGGGGGAUGCAAGUGUUAUCCGGAAUCACUGGGCGUAAAGCGUCUGCAGGUGGUUUCCUAAGUCCACUGUUAAACCUUGAGGCUCAACCUCCAAUCUGCAUUGGAAACUAGGAGACUUGAGUAUAGUAGGGGUAGAGGGAAUUUCCAGUGGAGCGGUGAAAUGCGUAGAUAUUGGAAAGAACACCGAUGGCGAAGGCACUCUACUGGGCUAUUACUGACACUCAGAGACGAAAGCUAGGGGAGCAAAUGGG
rnacentral:rRNA from 1 species